rnacentral:rRNA from 1 species
UACGAAGGACCCAAGCGUUAUCCGGAUUUAUUGGGUUUAAAGGGUGCGUAGGCGGAUUAUUAAGUCAGUGGUGAAAGCCUACAGCUUAACUGUAGAAUUGCCAUUGAUACUGAUGAUCUUGAGUAUGAUUGAGGUAGGCGGAAUGUGUCAUGUAGCGGUGAAAUGCUUAGAUAUGACACAGAAGACACCGAUUGCGAAGGCAGCUUACUAAGUCAUAACUGACGCUGAUGCACGAAAGCGUGGGGGAGCAAACAGG